rfam:Eubacterium sp. CAG:581 genomic scaffold, scf104
GGGGGUGUAAAGGUUUCGACGGGGGUUUUGAACCUUAGUAAGCGAGUAGUGGCGUAGGACCACUUAUAACCUACAACUUUUUAAAUUAAACGACAACAAUAAAGUUGCUCUAGCUGCUUAAUGCAGCUUGUCCUCUUUAAGAUUACCACGACUUAAUCAGGGCAUCAUUUAGUGGUAAAUGUGAACAUUGGAGUGUUCCGACCAUUGUCACACAUUAGGAACUACUAAGCAUAGUAGCCUGUUUGUAGGCGACUAUGUAAGGGAAUGUUAAUAUACAAACUACACUCGUAGAAAGCUUUGGGAAUAGAUUUUCGGACAGGGGUUCGAUUCCCCUCACCUCCACCA